GGAAGUCUGGGAGUUUUACUUGGAUAAAAUGAACUCUAGCCUUAUCUCACCUAGUCCAAAUGAGUCUCUGGUGUCUCUGCAGACAGACUCUGGCCUCAACAGUCAGGCAGACAGGCAGAUGUCUGUUUUUAGUACUAGAGAUCGACUGUGGUAAUGGCCUGUAUGUGUUAUAUGCUAGCUCUACCACUUAAUUAAACCUACAGCCCCUCUCUGUGAGUUCAGACUAGGCACCCUGCCUGAGACACACCCACAGUCUACAAUGCCUGUUCAAACAUAGGCCUCAAAGCUGGGCUCAGCAGUCAUAAGACAUGGCACCCCCAUGCGGAACCAAAGCCCCAAAGCUCCAUCCAACCACACAGGUAUGAGAGCUCCUGGAGCCGAAGUUCUGGUCCAGCCUAACUCUCCAGAAUUUGUACAGCCUAUCACCAAGCCUGCUUGCUGGGGAUGUAGUCUGCAGUAACCCCAAGAGCAACGCAGCACACAAACCCCAAAAGUAGGGUAGUCUCCUGUGGUGGGGACGGGUUAAGGGUGCUUAACUGCCCUGCCCUGUGACACAUGUCACCAGUAGAAAGAGGGAGUGAAGUCAUAUAUAUCUAGGAAGAGCAGAGCUGAGGGUGUGGUGCCAGGCGUACCUGCUCAUACCAGGAGGCCACGGUGCUUUCCAUGUACUGGUAGCUGGUAAAGAAGGCCACAAUGCCAUCUGGGACCACGGCGGACAUCUCCAGCAGGAGGUUGCCAUAGUUUCGGAUCACAGCUAGAAGAGUAGGUUAAAGAGUGGAUCCUCUCCUGGCUCCCAUUGAGACCACCUAACCAUAUCCCAAACGCAUUCUCCCAAGCACAGUAGAGGGCUGUCUCCCAUUCCCUGAGGAUAUAUAACUUGUGACAGCAAAAGAGACAUGUAGAAGUGGUUGUUUCUUCCAUGUGACACUCAGGAGCCAGUGCCCAAAGUUCCAGGGGCCAGUGCUUAGGCUCAAUAGUGCACCUGUUAGUGCAGACCUCCAAGUGAAGAAACCUAAGGCACUGAGGAUGGGAACCCCCCCUGUGCUAGCAUAGAGGCUGGGAUAAUGCUAUGGCAGCAGGUCCUAGGCCACCUGAGACCCACCCCAACCAAGCCUACAGGUGACUCACCAAUAUCUUCUCUGGUCUCAAAUUUGGAGCUGAUUGCUACCUGGUCAUUACCACGGCCAAUGAUCUGGAAGAAUCAGGUUAAAGGCCUUGAGAUGAUGUCUCAUGUAGCCCAGGCUGGCCUUCAGACUAGGAGCCUUCCCAAGGCUCUCUUUCCCCCUAAACCCAUGAGAAGGCUCUUCUCCAGCCUCCUGAAAUUCUGUGUAGCCAAGGUGACCCUGGUUCUCCUGCCCACCUCUGCAGUUGAGAUCACAGGCCUGCGCCCAAGUGCCCGGCAUGCUAGGCAAGUGCUGGAGCAAACAAGGCCCGAGUUCAGGUAAGCCUUAUGCAGACAACAGAUUAGAUGGCCCAAGCCUAUGGCUGGCACUGCUUGGGCAAGUGCUUGGAGCUCAACCAUGAGCCACCUGCCCACAGUCACAGAGUAACAAGCCCCAGGGAAGGGCCCUCUGUGCUUCUAGGCAGGACUAUACCAGCCCUGGGCAGUUCCAGACAUAGGUCACCCACAGCACACAUCCCAUUAGCUACCCUCCCCAGUCCACCAUGCCAGUGAGUGGUCAGAGAGACUGAUCCAAAAACCCCACAGCUCUGAACCCAUCUGUCUAACCCCUGCUGCAAAGCCACUGCCCUCUUCAAAGUCCAUGCUCUGUGAGCAUGCUGUCCGGUUACAGCCCCCUCCCCCGACAGUAAGGUUAAAGGGUUUCUGAUUGUGUGCCGGGCAGUAUCCCAGCCACCCUUGGCUGCUUGUGGCCCAUGGCCCAUGGGUUGAACAUGCCUAGCUGCAGGGUUCUGAACUGCAAAGCAGAGACCAUGAGGCUGAGAGGACAGCUCUGCCCCAGGUUUCAGAGGGAGGCUCAUUACUCAAGACACAGCUGGGUGACAAAUGACAAAGCCAUCAGCACGAUGAUGCCAGCCACCACCUGCCCAGGCCUGCGUCGCACCAGCGUACACUGUGUGCAUGUGUCUAUGUGCCAUAGCCCAGUGGCGGCGUACACUUGGUAACUUGGUGCACCCACCAGGCCUGAGCCUCAGCUGAGUAACCGGCUGCCUAGGUCGAAGCCAGGAGGCAGGCGGCUCCCCGGUCUCACCCACUCACCAUCGGGCAGAGGCAGACUCGGGCCAGCGUCAUGGUGAAGGUUGCCAUUGUGACAGGGUGGAAGUCCAGGAUCUUGGGGUAGAUGUCCAGUGGGGACAGUGUCUGUAACGGAGACAGCAAGGGAGACCUCAGCAGGCUGGCCGGAGACCAGGAGCCCGAUGAAGGAGCAGCAGAGUCCUCACCCCAGAAGUGAUGAUGACAGACUGGAAGCGCUCAAACACAGGCUUGAUGGCCAAGGAGGCGUCCAUACAGCUGCGGGACAACACGGGGGUCACACGGGGCAGAGGGCGGGGCCUGUCCCAUCCACACAGGGUUGCAUCUCACCUGAAGUGCAGAACGGGGUUGGCGAUGGUGGGGGUCCUGUCGUCAAAGGGCUCAAUGAUAAUGGUGAAGCCUGGUGGAGGGAGAGGCCGGGGAGUCUCAGUCACUCAUCACCCCGGGACAGAACUGCCCCAGCCUGCCCACUUCUGCAAACCCUCAGGUGCAGAAGCAGUGAGCUGUGGCUUCAUACAUGGUCCCGCAGGUAGCCAAGCCCGCCAUUCCCCAGGCACCUCUGUCCUCCAGGCUCUCACUCCUGUCCCCGCAGAGCAACCAGAGACAUGUCAUGGAACCCCAAGUUUGCCAGUUUCCACACUUCCCAUGACCCCAGAAGGGUGUCAUGCACUCUCCCAGGCUGAAGAGCAAGAUUUGCCUGCUUUCCUCCCUCCCAUUCCUCACCGUGCCUCUCUGCCACCAACACAGGCUAAGUAGAGGCAGGGAAGAGGGCCGCUCCUGAGGGAAGCAGCAAUGGCUUUGGCAGUAAGAGGCUGGUAACCAGGUGGACCUGGCCUUGGGUGCCUUCCUGACUGGCUUUUUUUGUUGUUGUUGUUGGUUUUUUUCUGUUGCCAGCACAGGGUACCAUGACUGGGAUAACACUUCACAACCAAGGACAAGAAAAACAAGGAUAGUUCAUAUUCCAGAGUCCCACUGUGAGACACCUGAGGGCCCCCUUGCCCUGAGCUGCUGUGCCAGCUUCCACUUGGCUGAAUCCCUGCCCCAGAGGACAGUGCCAUGGCUCCUUGCAGCACCGCUCCACUUCCCAGGGUCACCUGGAACCAUCUUUGCUCCUCAUUCUCCCCCAGGCUGUGACUCCGGGAAGGGGAGGAUGAGGCUGUUUCAGUAGUGCUGGGCCUGGCCCCAUUUGCUAACUGAACAAAUGAAUACAUUCAUGGGUUCUGUUUCACUUGGCAAAAAUGAUCGGGUCUUACGUGUCCAGCCCUUGCCAAGGACACAGCAGUGACCAACACAGCCUCAGUCCCACCCAUAAGAGCUCCCUUGUACUAGGGGAGACAGCUAUCCAGAGAGUAAUGAUCCCAGGCGCAGCUGGAAUAGAGAAGGGGCAGGCCUCGCAUAGGGUGGGCUGGGUGCCUUUCUGAAAGCUGAAGGACUCAGGCAGGUGAUAGGAGGCGUAGACAAGGAGGCUUCUACCGAUUGUGAUGUUGUAGGUGGGGGAGGAGGAAGAGACAAAGGCCAAAGAAAGGGGCAUGGUGAGUGCUGAAAGCUUAAGGAAGCAGGCAGCUGCCAACAGCCUGCAGUGGGGCUGAUGGGGGGGGCCUCCUCCUUCCGAGGCCCAGGCUGGCCCAGCUGCAGGAUGCCAGCUGACCUGGUUUCCUGGCUACGGCAGUAAUCCCCAGGGAUAAGCCUGAAAACUCAGUGUGGAGCUGGGGGGGUGGGGGGGUGGGGCAGCACACAACACAUGGACAGAGGAAACAUGACAGAUGGACCCAAGUGACGGACCCAGAAGGUCCUGGGAGGCAGGCCUCUGUGGAUCAUCAGUCUGUAUCUGCCUCCCUUGAGAGCUUCAUGCCCAGCGCCAUGCUUUUCCAUCCUGGCCUCUUCCUCCCAUAGUUCUCCCCAGCACACUCUCCUGUCCCCAUUGUCCACAGUUCUGCAUCUUCCUGCUACAUGAACCUCGAAAGCAACAAUCUCACCAAGUGCAUCCCUUGCCCAGAACCUGCCAUGGUUCCCUGGUGCCCUCAGUCACACACGAGGACUCCUCACCCCACUGAUGGUGAGGUGACCCCUAGUGUCCUUCUGGUCAGUGCCACAGCACAGCCCACACACUUGUUCUCUGAACACGAGAAUCUGACCACGAGGCUCCUCACUCAGGCACUCUGUAUGGUCUUGCCCCCUGCUAAUGCCCCACCCAUGUGGCUGACCCCCAAGUCCUGCUGUCAGAUCCCCAGUAGAAAGGCGAGCUCACCCUUGGCGUAAGUGCUGACGAGAGUGGCGAAGUUAGCAAGGAGUGUGAGCGGGGAGAAGUCGGCCAGGUCGGCAAUCUCCAGGGUGUGCAGCAGGGAGCGCAGGCGUUCAGCACAGAACCUGAGAGGCAACGGGGUCAGGAGCGGGAAGCAGCAACAGGCCCGACUCUCACCAUGUUUCCCUGGGCACCUGGGCAUUGUGUGAAGCUACCCCAUACUGUAGAAGACCCCCAGAGCUACCACUCCAGGCUGGAGCACAGCACAUACAGUGCACAGGCUCACUGCUCACACGCAAUAUCCUGUUAAGACUCCCGGCUAGAGCCCGGCGUGGUGGCGCACGCCUUUAAUCCCAGCACUCGGGAGGCAGAGGCAGGUGGAUCUUUUGGGACUUUGAGGCCUGCCUGGUCUAUGAAACAAGUUCCAGGACAGCAAAAAUCACACAGAGAAACCCUGUCUCAGAAAACACAACGAGGGACUGGAGAGAUGGCUGAGCAGUUAAGAGCACUGGCUGCUUGCUCUUCCAGAGGUCCUGAGUUCAAAUCCCAGCAACCACAUGAAGGCUCACAACCAUCUGUACAGCUACAGUGUACUCACAUACAUAAAACAAAUAAAUCUACAACAAAACAAAACCGAAAUAGAAGUGGAAGGAAAAACCCAACUCCACAAAGUUGUCCUCUGACCUCCACAUACGGAACCCCUUCUUCCCUCCACUAUUGUCACUACCAGGAAUACCUCCAGAGUUUUCCUAUACAUAGCCCUAGCUAGCCCGAAACUCACUAUGAAACCCAGACUGUACUUCAAACUCGAGCAAUCUGUCCUCAGCCACCCUGUCUCUAGAAUUACAGGCAUAAUUGUAAUUACUAUCAGUCAGUUUAUGCGGUGCCAGGAUGGAACCCAGAGUUUCACCCCUGCUAGCUAGGCUAGCACCCUACCAACUGAGCGACAUUCCUCGCCUUGUUAUUUACAAUUGUUGUUAGUACACGGUCUCGCUGUGUAGCCCCGGCUGGCCUCCAAAAUCGCAGCGAUGCUCCUGCCUGGGUCUUCCGGGUGCUGGGAUAGCAAGGCCCGGGCCCCGACCAGGACGUUUGCCUGCCAGAGGCAUCAGAAUGCAAGGAGGGCAGCCUCGCCACCCACCUUGGCGUCCAGCGUGCGCUUGAGCUCCAGCAUGUAGGAGAACUGCUCCGGGUAGAUGUAGUCGUACGGGAAGUAGACCAGCAGCCCGUCCACGUUGAGCCUGGCGGCGGUGAGGCGUCGGUGCCCGGUGCUCUCGAGCCGCCUCGGCCUCCGCUCCGC
rnacentral:lncRNA from 1 species